GAGACAUAAUGUUCCAUGAUUUCUAUACAGAGAUCUUAUGGAAUGGAUUGAUUUAGAUAUUUUCCUGAUCUCCAUGUAACUACUGUAAACGUCAAGGAAACCUUUUGUUAUUAUUAUGAUCAAGUGUUUGUUGUGACAUGGGAUUUGGUCUUGCAUAAGAGCUACAGGUGUAGGACUUUUACGGGUCGUAUCCUUAUUCUCAACAUAACGCUGGGAUUUGAUGAUAAGGCAUGUUCAGGGUUUGUGGGGAGGUUCACAGACAUCCUCAGGGAGGAUACGAAGUAUUGAAAUGUCCGGAUGAAUAAAAGAGACAGUCAUCUGUGCAGCAUCAAUGCAAAGAAAGACCAUAGAAGAGCAACAAAACUGAAGUCCUGCUUGAGAUCCCUGGAUGAGUACUCCAGGUUGACAGUCUGGAAGGACCAGACAAGGGAGUCCUUAACAGAGAGUGCACCCCUUCAGAUAUCAGAGGUGUUUGCAGACAGCGAUGACGAGGGUCCUGUUAUUUCAAUGGAGGCCAACCGAGAAGUUGUAUGCCAAAUGGUAUUUGGACACAAAAAGGCUGGUCUGGCUAAUGUGAGAAGACCAACCAAUGCCAAGCUUGAGUUGGAUCCUUCCAGAACUUUCAAGAAAUUCUUGUCUUGAGCCAUGUGGUAAACACUUGAAAGGAAUGAUAAAUGGGACUUAUUGCUUUAAAUGAGGACCCAAACACCAAAUGGAAAGUUCACAAUUCUACUAACACAAUACAGCAGAGAUAGAGUCUAACUGGUAUCCCCUCAUCCUGGUUCCUGUUCAUCCAUGGCAAUAUAGAAAGAAAAGGAGGAUUGAGGGAAAGUAAGUUCUCUGAACUGGUGAACAUAAUCCGUAGGUACUGUAGAGCGAACAGUUAUCACACUCUGUUAUGAGUAUUGAAGAAUAGGAUGAAAUUGCAUACUGCAUCAGGAACCAUCAUGUGAACACUGUUCAAUGUGCGAUAUACUAUAGGCAUAUGAAUAAAAGAAAUUGAUAAUUUGAUUGUUGCUUAUGUUUCAUUUGCCAGCUGUGUAAAUGGGGAUGUUUCAUGAUUUUGGCUCAGUUUAAUAGCCACACUUAUCUUAUGAAACCAUGCAUUGCUUGGGCAUCUCAGGAAUAAAUA